UAAUACGUAGGUGGCAAGCGUUGUCCGGAUUUACUGGGCGUAAAGAGCGCGCAGGCGGUCGAGUAAGUCGAAUGUGAAAGCCCCCGGCUUAACUGGGGAGGGUCAUUCGAUACUGUUCGACUUGAAGGCAGGAGAGGGCAGCAGAAUUCCCGGUGUAGUGGUGAAAUGCGUAGAUAUCGGGAGGAAUACCAGUGGCGAAGGCGGCUGCCUGGCCUGUUCUUGACGCUGAGGCGCGAAAGCUGGGGGAGCAAACAGGAUUAGAUACCCUGGUAGUCCACGCCCUAAACGAUGGGUACUAAGUGUCGGCGGGUUACCGCCGGUGCCGCACCUAACGGAGUAAGUACCCCGCCUGGGGAGUACGGCCGCAAGGUUG
rnacentral:rRNA from 1 species